CAGCCGCCGCGGUAAUACAGAGGGUGCGAGCGUUAAUCGGAUUUACUGGGCGUAAAGCGUGCGUAGGCGGCUUCUUAAGUCGGAUGUGAAAUCCCUGAGCUUAACUUAGGAAUUGCAUUCGAUACUGGGAAGCUAGAGUAUGGGAGAGGAUGGUAGAAUUCCAGGUGUAGCGGUUAAAUGCGUAGAGAUCUGGAGGAAUACCGAUGGCGAAGGCAGCCAUCUGGCCUAAUACUUACGCUGAGGUACGAAAGCAUGGGGAGCAAACAGGAUUAGAUACCCCUGUAGUCCCUGUCUCUUAUAC
rnacentral:rRNA from 1 species